rnacentral:misc_RNA from 1 species
CUUAUCUUCUUCUCCCUUGCAUUUUCGAAGCUUCUCGACUGCUCAUAUAAAAUUUUCCAAUUCGAAAUUUGGGCUAGGGUUUCCAAAGCUUGAACGUAGUAGGCCAUUUUCAAUGAAACAGGUAGCUCGAAGCUUAGCUUAGGGUUUCGCUUCUCUGUGACGGCCGGUCGGCCGGUGCGGUUAAGGUUUUUGAAUGGCGGCGGCUGCAAAUCCACAGCCACUGCAGGCGCGUCCUUAUGAAGAACACUUGCGAGCGCCGAUACAGAUUGAGGACGAAGACGGUGGAGAGUACGAGGACGGUGACGCUAUGGAUGACGUCGAUGAGGCGCACAUGAAUUCCGGUGUGAACGUGGCAGAGCAUCGCGGCGGAGUUGGAGGUGGAGCUGGUGUGGUUAUGGCGUCGAGGACAAGUGAACUUACUCUCUCUUUUGAAGGAGAGGUGUAUGUUUUCCCUGCUGUUACCCCUGAGAAGGUGCAAGCAGUGCUCUUGCUUCUGGGUGGACGAGACAUUCCCACUGCUGUACCUGCUAUUGAAGUACCCUUUGAUCAAAAUAACAGGGGCGUAGGUGACACACCAAAGCAUUCAAAUCUUUCACGAAGAAUAGCCUCCC